GACGAACGCUGGCGGCGUGCUUAACACAUGCAAGUCGAACGGAAAGGCCCUGCUUUUGUGGGGUGCUCGAGUGGCGAACGGGUGAGUAACACGUGAGUAACCUGCCCUUGACUUUGGGAUAACUUCAGGAAACUGGGGCUAAUACCGGAUAGGAGCUCCUGCUGCAUGGUGGGGGUUGGAAAGUUUCGGCGGUUGGGGAUGGACUCGCGGCUUAUCAGCUUGUUGGUGGGGUAGUGGCUUACCAAGGCUUUGACGGGUAGCUGGCCUGAGAGGGUGACCGGCCACAUUGGAACUGAGAUACGGCCCAGACUCCUACGGGAGGCAGCAGUGGGGAAUAUUGCACAAUGGGCGGAAGCCUGAUGCAGCAACGCCGCGUGCGGGAUGACGGCCUUCGGGUUGUAAACCGCUUUCGCCUGUGACGAAGCGUGAGUGACGGUAAUAGGUAAAGAAGCACCGGCUAACUACGUG
rnacentral:rRNA from 1 species